rnacentral:rRNA from 1 species
UACGUAGGGUGCGAGCGUUUAAUCGGAAUUACUGGGCGUAAAGCGUGCGUAGGCGGUUCGCUGUGUCCGAUGUGAAAGCCCCGGGCUUAACCUGGGAAUGGCAUUGGAAACUGGCGGGCUUGAGUGUGGCAGAGGGGGGUGGAAUUCCGCGUGUAGCAGUGAAAUGCGUAGAGAUGCGGAGGAACACCGAUGGCGAAGGCAGCCCCCUGGGUUAACACUGACGCUCAGGCACGAAAGCGUGGGGAGCAAACAGG